UAUAAACAUAGACCCAGUGAGAAUCUGCUACUCUCACUCCACCUGAGUCAGGGGAAGUCCGGUGAAGCUGUGCAUAUGCACAUCCAGUCCGGCGCUGUCGCGCAACGGUAAUCGGAGGCCACCUCCGUCAGCCCGAAUGCCUCUCAGGGACGCCUGCGUCAA
rfam:Deinococcus gobiensis I-0, complete genome.